UCAGGUUUCGUAUAUAUUACAAUACUCUCUCAGAUCAGGAUUUCCCAGACACAGUGGACCCGCUAGAUGAGUGCUCUGAAUAUAAAUCGUCUGAUAUAAGAGCAUCGAAAUUGCCCACAGUGGUGUCUCUGGCCAGCAAGAUUGCCCAAAUGACUUGCAGUUUGCAUGAAAACAUAAUAAAGAGGAUUAUUACAAUAUGUACCAAAGCUUGAAGAGAGAUGAAGUGGAAAGAGAUAAAAGUUGUUUGGGGAUAAUAAAAUGUAAAUAAAAAAAGAAUAAGAUUCGAGUGACACUCAAGAUUGCGGAGCUUGCUUACAAAGUCAUACAAUGCUCUUUAAACAAACCAUUGUUUUCUGUAAAGAAUUGACCAAGACCUUAAAUCCUCUGUCUGCUGCUGCCAGCAAGAAAACCUAAUUUCACAGUUGCCAUGGAAACAUCUAGGAAAUGGUACCCACCUGAAAUCUGACAGAACUAUACCACUGAUUGAAAAAGCUGAUGACACAGAAGUAUUUAUUUAAUCCUUUCACUACCAGUGGGGCCAGCAAUACAAGGAUCUGUGAUGUGAAGGCUCUUUGGGGAGAAAACAUAGAGUUCUUGAGACAGUUGUAUAUUACUGUGAGUCUCAACUUCUAUGCCAAUUUAAGAAACUUUUGGCCCUUUGGGACAGGAACCUUUGAUAAAAAAUAAAUCUAUGGUAAAAAAAAAAAAAAGAACGAGACCUUAUCAUGUACUCAAUGUUGACUACCCAGUGUAGAGGAGAGAGCCUAUGCAGUAAUUGGAUAACAAAUUAAGGUGAACAUAGGCUGGAGAAUGUUUGUUGAUGCCAUAUGGUCAUCUAAGUCAUUAAACUUUUAGUAUUGUUCUCCACCGUAUUCACUUACUGCAUAUUUUAUCCAGCUUUACCACCUCUAU